rnacentral:rRNA from 1 species
AGGAUAGAGGCCUACCAUGGUGGUAACGGGUAACGGGGUGUUAGGGCACGACACCGGAGAGGGAGCCUGAGAAACGGCUACCACAUCCAAGGAUGGCAGCAGGCGCGCAAAUUACCCAAUCCCGACACGGGGAGGUAGUGACAAUAAAUAACAAUACGGGGUUCUUUCGGAUCUCGUAAUUGGAAUGAGUACAAUUUAAAUCUCUUAACGAGGAACAAUUGGAGGGCAAGUCUGGUGCCAGCAGCCGCGGUAAUUCCAGCUCCAAUAGCGUAUAUUAAAGUUGUUGCAGUUAAAAAGCUCGUAGUUGAAUUUCGGGGUUAGUAGGUUGGUCAUGCCUCUGGUAUGUACUGGUCUCACUGAUUCCUCCUUCCUUAUGAACCGUAAUGCCAUUAAUUUGGUGUUGCGGGGAAUUUGGACUGUUACUUUGAAAAAAUUAGAGUGUUUAAAGCNGNCUAACGCUUGAAUACAUUAGCAUGGAAUAAUGAAAUAGGACGUUCGAUCUUAUUUUGUUGGUUUCUAGGAUUGACGUAAUGAUUAAUAGGGAUAGUUGGGGGCAUUAGUAUUCAAUUGUCAGAGGUGAAAUUCUUGGAUUUAUUGAAGACUAACUACUGCGAAAGCAUUUGCCAAGGAUGUUUUCAUUAAUCAAGAACGAAAGUUAGGGGAUCGAAGACGAUCAGAUACCGUCGUAGUCUUAACCAUAAACUAUGCCGACUAGGGAUCGGAUG